rnacentral:lncRNA from 1 species
UGAAGAAUAUAGGGAGAUGGUGAAGAUCAAAGCAAGUAAGCUCCCUAAGAAACAUCCUCGGUGUAUAGCUGAUGGAAAUGAACUUUUAAGGUUCUAUGGAACUACUUUGGCAUGUGGCCUUGGUAUGAAUGGAACCUGCAGUCUCUGUGUAUCCGAUAAAUGCUGCGUCUGUCGAAUUAUCAGAAAUGGAUUCACCACGAGGAAGGAACUCAAAGGCGGGAUUGGUGUCUUCACGACUUCCACAAGUGCAAGAGCUUAUGAAUGUAUUGAGUUGAGUGAAAUGUGGCCUUGGCAUGAAUGGAACCUGCAGUCUCUGUGAAUCUGAUAAAUGCUGCGUCUGUCGAAUUAUCAGAAACGGAUUCACCACGAAGAAGGAGCUCAAAGGCGGGAUUGGUGUCUUCACGACUUCCACAAGUGCAAGAGCUUAUGAAUGUAUUGAGUUGAGU